rnacentral:rRNA from 1 species
CGUGUAGGCGGCUUGUUAAGUCGGUUGUGAAAACCCAUGGCUCAACCAUGGAAGGGCGUCCGAAACUGGCAAGCUAGAGUCCCGACGAGGAUGGCGGAAUUCCCAGUGUAGAGGUGAAAUUCGUAGAUAUUGGGAGGAACACCGGUGGCGAAGGCGGCCAUCUGGGAGGGCACUGACGCUGAGACGCGAAAGCGUGGGGAGCAAACAGGAUUAGAUACCCUGGUAGUCCACGCCGUAAACGAUGAGCACUAGAUGUUGCGGGUAUUGACCCCUGCAGUGUCGACGCUAACGCAUUAAGUGCUCCGCCUGGGGAGUACGGCCGCAAGGCUAAA